rnacentral:rRNA from 1 species
AACGCGAAGAACCUUACCCGGGCUCGAAGUGCUGCUGACCAGCGGUAGAAAUAUCGCCUUCUCGCAAGAGACAGUAGUAGAGGUGCUGCAUGGCUGUCGUCAGCUCGUGCCGUGAGGUGUUGGGUUAAGUCCCGCAACGAGCGCAACCCUUACUCUUAGUUGCUACCCGCAAGGGAGAACUCUAUGAGGACUGCUCCGGAUAACGGAGAGGAAGGUGGGGAUGAGGUCAAGUCAGCAUGGCCUUUAUGUCCAGGGCUACACACGUGUUACAAUGCGCGCUACAGAGCGUUGCAAACCCGCGAGGGGGAGCUAAUCGCACAAAAGCGCGCUCAGUUCGGAUUGCAGUCUGCAACUCGACUGCAUGAAGCCGGAAUCGCUAGUAAUGGCGCAUCAGAACGGCGCCGUGAAUACGUUCCCGGGCCUUGUACACACCGCUCGCGA